GGCGCCGUGGCUUAGUUGGUUAAAGCUCCUGUCUCGUAAACAGGAGAUCCUGGGGUCCAAAUCCCAGCGGUGCCU